ensembl:lncRNA
CCUGCUUCAUCCCCGGUCUGGAUCCCCGUCUUAGCUCCUCUCCACUCCGCAGCACGUCGUGACAGAAUGACAACACCUGUUACCGGACCCAGCGGGGAAAUUCUUCCGUGGGAGAACCUGCUCCAGUGGCUUACCCCGAUCCACCAGCCGGCUUCUCCCUCUCCAGCCCCAGCUCCGCCUCUCUGCCGCCGGCGUCCCCGACCGUCAGCCUCGGCGUUUCUCGCUGCCCUUCCGGAACCGGACAGGAGUUGGGAUGGGGAGACGCUCCUGGAUCGCUUCAGCUAUGAGGGCACGAGGCUGGCGAUCUGCUCCCCUGGAGUCGGUCCACGGCGUGGGGAAAAACGCCCGGACUCCACCACCAUCCGGGAUCUCCAGACGGAGCUGUGAGCCCGCUUCUGCCCCUGCCCGGCACGGCUGUUCGGACAUGCCCACGGCCAGACCACCAGUCCCGUCUCCUGCCGAACCGGCGCCUCCGUCACCUGCAGAGGAAGGAGCAGCAAUCGCAGCCCGGCUGAUAGAGCAACGGGCGGAGCUCGGCCGGUUCCGCGAGCUCCUCAGCCGCCAGGAGUCUCACCUGGAUGAUCUAUCCUCCUCGUCUCAGGGCCAGGGGAGCGAGUGCGGGGUUCACCCAGCGGAGCUCGCCGGUCAGCGGACUGAGCUGGCCCAGCUCCGUUGGGCGCUCAGCCUCAGGGAGCUAGAGCUGGACGAGCUGACCUCCCGGCCCAGCCUGCUCUCCUAGCAGCGGCCCUGCUACCGACCCGGAAGCAGAUGGUACCGGAUCCGGUCCAAAACUCGGCAGUCCAGAAGUCGAGGGACCAGAAGCCGACACCUCCGGGCCAGAAGCAGACGGUACCGGCCCAUAAGCCGACGGAGCGGGCCCAGAGGCAGAGGGUACCGACCCGGAAGCAGAUGGUACCGGAUCCAGUCCAAAACUCGGCGGUCCAGAAGUCGAGGGACCAGAAGCUGACUCCUCCGGGCCAGAAGCAGACGGCUCCGGUUCCGGUCCAGAGGUCGACGUUCCGAAAAUCGAAGGACCAGAAGUCGACGCCCCCGGACCCGAAGCUGACGCCCCCGGACCAGAAGUCGAUGGUGGUCGACGCCCGUUCCUGUUCUGAAGUCGACGCCCGUUCCUGUUCUGAAGUCGACACCCGUUUCUGUUCUGAAGUCGACGCCCGUUCCUGUUCUGAAGUCGACGCCCGAUCCUGUUCUGAAGUCGACGCCUGUUUCUGUUCUGAAGUCGACGUGUCCGCAGUCGUCCCCGCUGAAGUUGGCUCGUCUGACGUCGUCUCCUCCUCUGAAGUCGACGUGUCUGAAGUUGGCUCGUCUGAUGACGUUGCCUCCUCCUCUGAAGUCGGCUCGUCUGAUGACGUCGCCGCCCCCUCAGAAGUCGGCUCGUCUGACGACGUCGCCGCCCCUGAAGUCGGCUCGUCUGACGACGUAGCCUCCCCUGAAGUCGGCUCGUCUGACGACGUAGCGUCCCCUGAAGUCGGCUCGUCUGACGACGUCACCUCCCCUGAAGUCGGCUCGUCUGACGACGUCGCCUCCCCUGAAGUCGCCUCCUCUGAAGUCGGCUCGUCUGAUGACGUCACCUCCUCUGAGGUCGGCUCAUCUGACGUCGCCUCCCAAGUCGCCUCCUCUGAUGUCGGCCCGUCUGAUGACGUCGCCUCCCAAGUCGCCUCGUCUGAAGUCGGCUCGUCUGAUGACGUCGCCUCCCAGGUCGGCUCAUCUGAUGACGUCGCUUCCCAGGUCAGCUCGUCUGAUGACGUCGCCUCCCAAGUCGGCUCGUCUGACGACGUCGCCUCUCAAGUCGCCUCCUCUGAAGUCGGCUCGUCUGAUGACGUCGCCUCCCAAGUCGGCUCGUCUGAUGACGUCGCCUCCCAGGUCGGCUCGUCUGAUGACGUCGCCUCCCAGGUCGGCUCGUCUGAUGACGUCGCCUCCCAGGUCGGCUCGUCUGAUGAUGUCGCCUCGUCUGAGGAUGCUCUCUGCACUCCAGAGGUUGACGCUCCUUCCGGUCCAGCAUCCCCACCGUCUCCGGUUCCGAUGGUGGUUCUGGAGGUCGCUCCGGCCCAGCCUGCAGAGACUUUGUCACCGGCCCAGCCUGCAGAGACCUUGUCACCGGCCCAGCCUGCAGAGGUCCUCUAUCGUAGACGCAGGCCCCCAAGGGCCCAUCGCCUCCUCCUCUGCCGCAGGCGCC